GAUGAAGAACGCAGCGAAAUGCGAUAAGUAAUGUGAAUUGCAGAAUUCAGUGAAUCAUCGAAUCUUUGAACGCACAUUGCGCCCGUCAGUAUUCUGGCGGGCAUGCCUGUUCGAGCGUCAUUACGCCCCUCAAGUCCCCUGUGGACUUGGUGUUGGGGAUCGGCGAGGCUGGUUUUCCAGCACAGCCGUCCCCCAAAUACAGUGGCGGUCCCGCCGCAGCUUCCAUUGCGUAGUAGCUAACACCUCGCAACUGGAGAGCGGCGCGGCCACGCCGUAAAACACCCAACUUCUGAAUGUUGACCUCGAAUCAGGUAGGAAUACCCGCUGAACUUAAGCAUAUCAAUAAGCGGAGGA
rnacentral:misc_RNA from 1 species